rnacentral:rRNA from 1 species
AUUGAACGCUGGCGGCAGGCCUAACACAUGCAAGUCGAGCGGAUGAAGGGAGCUUGCUCCUGGAUUCAGCGGCGGACGGGUGAGUAAUGCCUAGGAAUCUGCCUGGUAGUGGGGGAUAACGUCCGGAAACGGGCGCUAAUACCGCAUACGUCCUGAGGGAGAAAGUGGGGGAUCUUCGGACCUCACGCUAUCAGAUGAGCCUAGGUCGGAUUAGCUAGUUGGUGGGGUAAAGGCCUACCAAGGCGACGAUCCGUAACUGGUCUGAGAGGAUGAUCAGUCACACUGGAACUGAGACACGGUUCAGACUCCUACGAGAGGCAGCAGUGGGGAAUAUUGGACAAUAGGCGAAAGCCUGAUCCAGCCAUGCCGCGUGUGUGAAGAAGGUCUUCGGAUUGUAAAGCACUUUAAGUUGGGAGGAAGGGCAGUAAGUUAAUACCUUGCUGUUUUGACGUUACCAACAGAAUAUGCACCGGCUAACUUCGUG